UGGCCGCCGCCUCAAGGAACAGGGCAGGAGGGUCGUUAACCUUCUGGCGCCGCUCGGGCCUGUUCAGCUUUCCAAGAAAUUCAUCCUUGUUGCAGUAAGCAGAAUGAAGACCAAAAGACAUUCAGAAAAGAGGACAAAGGAAAGAGAAGUGAUAGUGAACAAGCACUAGAAAUACAAGACAGCAACAAGAUUUGUGGAAAGUUUGGGAUAGAUGGAAUCUAUCAUUCGAUAAAUAAUGUCAAAUGACCUGAAAGUCUCUGGAGUCUUCUGUGUGGCCUUUGAGGACUCAUCAACUUGAGAACAGAGCAGGAUGCAGGUGUUUCAACCAUGGAUGCCAUAGUGGUGCUGUGCUCUUCCUCUCCCCCACCCUUCCCUGCCCCUGUGAGGAAGAGUCAAGGCUGGAUUGAGCCAGAGUGUAGGGAAGGAUUUUCUCAUAAUUUGGCAGCCCAUGAAGAUCUCUAGACUACCAGAUGAAAAAGUUGAGGCAUACAGAAGUUAAGCAACUUGCCCCAAGACACAUGGCCAGGAAGUGGCAGAGAGAUGAUUCAAAUCCAGAGACAUGCUUUUAACUACUAUGCUAUGAAAUUUAAGAAGUCAAAGAAAUUGAAAAGAUUCAUCUGUAUUCUGUAUGGACCAAGCAGAUGAGUUAAUGUUGACGUGAAAUAAAUCAAUGGCCCUGCAGCUUUAAAGAUUUGAUGGUGGCACUGAUCUUUGCAAUUACCUCAGGUAUGAGUGUUAAUUACUGUUUACUAUUUUGGGGAAGCAAAUAUAAGGGCCUAUCCUAUCAUAAAAGCUUUACGCCAAAGAUGAGGAUGCCAAUGUGGGA